UACGAAGGGGGCUAGCGUUGCUCGGAAUUACUGGGCGUAAAGCGCACGUAGGCGGCUUUCUAAGUCGGGGGUGAAAUCCUGGAGCUCAACUCCAGAACUGCCUUCGAUACUGGGGAGCUCGAGUCCGGGAGAGGUGGGUGGAACUGCGAGUGUAGAGGUGAAAUUCGUAGAUAUUCGCAAGAACACCAGUGGCGAAGGCGGCUCACUGGCCCGGUACUGACGCUGAGGUGCGAAAGCGUGGGGAGCAAACAGG
rnacentral:rRNA from 1 species